rfam:Rattus norvegicus chromosome 1, whole genome shotgun sequence.
GGGGAUUUAGCUCAGUGGUAGAGCGCUUGCCUAGGAAGGCAAGGCCCUGGGUUCGGUCCCCAGCUCCG